GACGAAGGAUGCAAGCGUUAUCCGGAUUCAUUGGGUUUAAAGGGUGCGUAGGCGGACUUGUAAGUCAGUGGUGAAAUCUCUUUGCUUAACAAAGAAACUGCCAUUGAUACUGCUAGUCUAGAGUUAUAGAUGACGUUGGCGGAAUAUGACAUGUAGUGGUGAAAAUACUUAGAUAUGUCAUAGAACACCGAUUGCGAAGGCAGCUAACGAAAACUAUAACUGACGCUGAGGCACGAAAAGUGCGGGGAUCAAACAGG
rnacentral:rRNA from 1 species